GGCAGUUUAGCUCAGUGGUAGAACACUUGCCUGGGAAGCAAAAACCCUGGGUUCUAUCCCCAAUGCCA
rnacentral:tRNA from 1 species